GGUGCGGGAGUGCAGUUGGUCGCGCACAGGCUUAGCCCGCAAGGGUUUUGGGUUCGAAUCCUGACCGCACCA